UUUGUAAUCACAGGAAAUAACAUGAGCUUGCAUCGCUUUAACUAAAAAGAUUUAAAGCAAAAGUUAUGUAAAUGGGUCAAUACUUUGAUCCGAGCCAGGUACUUUUUGGACGCCGGAAGACGAUCAAGCUCAACGAAGAACCGAACACGAUAAAGACACAUGCUUCCGCACAUCGCCUCGUUGUAAAUUUUUAACGACGAACCCGAUCACGUUAUGUAGAAUAACUUAUGAUUUGUAAAAGUUUUAAUAAACCCGUAUUUCCGAUGUAUAUGUAAUCUUAAUCACAUGAUUGUUUUCGUAAAAUAUACGUUAAACCA